rnacentral:rRNA from 1 species
UGGCUCAGAUUGAACGCUGGCGGCAGGCCUAACACAUGCAAGUCGAACGGUAACAGGAAGCAGCUUGCUGCUUCGCUGACGAGUGGCGGACGGGUGAGUAAUGUCUGGGAAACUGCCUGAUGGAGGGGGAUAACUACUGGAAACGGUGGCUAAUACCGCAUAACGUCGCAAGACCAAAGAGGGGGACCUUCGGGCCUCUUGCCAUCAGAUGUGCCCAGAUGGGAUUAGCUUGUUGGUGAGGUAACGGCUCACCAAGGCGACGAUCCCUAGCUGGUCUGAGAGGAUGACCAGCCACACUGGAACUGAGACACGGUCCAGACUCCUACGGGAGGCAGCAGUGGGGAAUAUUGCACAAUGGGCGCAAGCCUGAUGCAGCCAUGCCGCGUGUAUGAAGAAGGCCUUCGGGUUGUAAAGUACUUUCAGCGGGGAGGAAGGUGUUGUGGUUAAUAACCGCAGCAAUUGACGUUACCCGCAGAAGAAGCACCGGCUAACUCCGUGCCAGCAGCCGCGGUAAUACGGAGGGUGCAAGCGUUAAUCGGAAUUACUGGGCGUAAAGCGCACGCAGGCGGUCUGUCAAGUCGGAUGUGAAAUCCCCGGGCUCAACCUGGGAACUGCAUUCGAAACUGGCAGGCUUGAGUCUUGUAGAGGGGGGUAGAAUUCCAGGUGUAGCGGUGAAAUGCGUAGAGAUCUGGAGGAAUACCGGUGGCGAAGGCGGCCCCCUGGACAAAGACUGACGCUCAGGUGCGAAAGCGUGGGGAGCAAACAGGAUUAGAUACCCUGGUAGUCCACGCCGUAAACGAUGUCUACUUGGAGGUUGUGCCCUUGAGGCGUGGCUUCCGGAGCUAACGCGUUAAGUAGACCGCCUGGGGAGUACGGCCGCAAGGUUAAAACUCAAAUGAAUUGACGGGGGCCCGCACAAGCGGUGGAGCAUGUGGUUUAAUUCGAUGCAACGCGAAGAACCUUACCUGGUCUUGACAUCCACAGAAGAAUCCAGAGAUGGAUUUGUGCCUUCGGGAACUGUGAGACAGGUGCUGCAUGGCUGUCGUCAGCUCGUGUUGUGAAAUGUUGGGUUAAGUUCCGCAACGAGCGCAACCCUUAUCCUUUGUUGCCAGCGAUUAGGUCGGGAAUUCAAAGGAGACUGCCAGUGAUAAACUGGAGGAAGGUGGGGAUGACGUCAAGUCAUCAUGGCCUUUACGACCAGGGUUACACACGUGCUACAAUGGCGCAUACAAAGAGAAGCGACCUCGCGAGAGCAAGCGGACCUCAUAAAGUGCGUCGUAGUCCGGAUUGGAGUCUGCAACUCGACUCCAUGAAGUCGGAAUCGCUAGUAAUCGUGGAUCAGAAUGCCACGGUGAAUACGUUCCCGGGCCUUGUACACACCGCCCGUCACACCAUGGGAGUGGGUUGCAAAAGAAGUAGGUAGCUUAACCUUCGGGAGGGCGCUUACCACUUUGUGAUUCAUGACUGGGGUGAAGUCGUAACAAGG